rnacentral:rRNA from 1 species
AUUGAACGCUGGCGGCAUGCCUUACACAUGCAAGUCGAACGGUAACAGGACUUCGGUUGCUGCCUUGUGGCGGACGGGCGAGUAAUACAUCGGUACGUGGCCGACUGUCGGGGGUAGCGGGGUGACUGCUGUGCUCAUACGCCAUACGAUCUACGCAUGACAACGGCAGAUCUUCGGACCUCCCGCCGUCGGACCGGCCGAUGGCGGGUUAUGUAGUUGGUGGGUUAAAAGCGUAACCACCCGACGAUCUGUCGCUCGUCUGAUAGGAUGAUCAGCCACACUGGGACUGAGACACGGCCCAGACUCCUACGGGAGGCAGCAGUGGGGAAUUUUGGACAAUGGGCGGAAGCCUGAUCCAGCCAUGCCGCGUGCAGGAUGAAGGCCUUCGGGUUGGAAAAUGCUUUUGUGCGGAACGAAAAGCCUCUAUCUAAUAAAGAGGGGUAAUGACGGUACCGGAAGAAUAAGCACCGGCUAACUACGUG